ensembl:lncRNA
ACCACCAAGAGACACUCUGCAGAGGAGCUCCCAACUUUGGGAAGAACAAGGUUUGGGAUUUUAGCUCUGCUUUCAAUCUUUUUCAGAACAAGAGGAUACAAACCAAGCUGCGACUUCCCUGUGUAUAAAAUAAUUUCUGUGCUCUUGCACAAGCAGAAGACAAGUGACGGAAAGCAACAGGGCACAGGCCCUUGCAAGGGAUGCCCAUGCCCAGUAACCAGGUUGGCCAGUUCAGUGACAGAAGUAUCUCUAUGUGAAAAGGAAAAAAUCCAGAAGUUAUACACAGUUCUGAAUGCAAAUGCAUGCAAAAGUGACCUGGGAGAAGAAGUACAGAGCUGGUUUGGAGUGUCUUAGUGGAAAAGAAAGUUCUGUAAUGUGACCAGGCAUUCUAUGGCCAUCUGAAAAAAAAAGUCAACUGCACCCAGGUCCCAAUUAAGACAGGGAUUUUGAGACGACUGAUCUGUAAUGAAUAAAAUAAGUAGUCUGCCUAAUUUCUCAGCUGCAGUAUUUUGGUGUACAUUGAAAUCCAGAAGGAGCACAUUGAUUUUCAUUUGGCCAUCCAGGAUAGGUGAAGAUGGGAACCUCCUUAAUAAGCACAACUCAAAUCUCUGCAGCUCGUAAGACAAAUAACCAAAGAAGAAGGCACGCUACCAUGUGGAUAUUCACUCCCCUUUAUUGCAGAGGAAGAACUUCUGCAGAAGGAUGGGACAAACAACAAAGGGCAGUAACAUUUUCAUCUGUCACUACAAUCCUAGCUAUUUUAUUUUCUGACUUCUGUGGUAUUUCACAUAAGGUUUAAUUAUAUACAGAUUCACAGCCACCUAAUAUAUUGACAACAGCUCUGGCUUUGACAGGGUUGGCCUGUUCAAAGUCACAUUUAGGCACAAUUAUGAUCCAGAAUUAGAUCUCCUCCAUAUUCCCUAAGAGGCCCAAGUGGUAGCAACCACAGAUCUUUAUUGGAUUCACCAUUGUGAAUCUCUCUUCUGGAGAUGAAAAUUUUACACCUGAAUUACACAAAGGCUUUUUGAAAGUAGCUAAGCUCUGUUGAAAUUUUUAGAAUAGAAAUUGUGAAAGAAAAGGAAGUCCCUAUGCUUCUCCUUGCUGUACAGUACUUGAGAUUACUGUUUUACUUUUCUCAAGAAUUUUCUGAUAACAAAAACUGCCUUAUUCAUACCAACACAAAACUAACUCUCCAUUGCAAGGCACAAUGGUACUGUUUUAUCAUAAAUCAGUGAGAAGAUUAGAAUAUAUGAUUUUUUUUUUUUUUCAGGUGGAGACAUAGUGGUAAAAACAACCAAGCCAGGUAACACAAUAAUUUGACAGAAAACCACAAGAUGAAAGGAAGUAAAACAAUAUGAUACAGAUGAAAGGUGAUAAAGCAAAAACAUGACAAGAACUGGGCGUGAAGUAAUAGCAUUAGGACACGAGAUAAUAUGAAGUGAUGAAAAAGAAUCAGCCUGAUAUGUUUUCUGAUGAUGCUACAUAGGAAGAUGCAUUAUGAGGAUACAUUACAGUGACAAAACAUACUUUUGGACUACACAACAGACAAUGCAUAAAUGGAAAAAAACAGAAAACCACACUGGAAAUAGAACAAAACAUUCUGCUAUUUAUACUUUAAUGAUAUUAUUUCAAUUUUAAGUAGCUGAAACCAAUAGAAGUGUUCAUGUGGAGACAUUAAAUUAAUUGAAGGCAUUCAUUUGAUACAAAUAACCUAAAUGUCUCAUCAAAGACAGCAGCCAGCAGAAAUACUCUGCUCUCCAAGUACCAAUACCACAUUCCAGGGCUGUGUGGUAUAACUAUCAGGGUGACAAGACUGAUGUGUGACUGGGAUUUAGGAUAGUGAGAGAGCAGCCCUUGACCCUUACCUAUGUGAGCAAGAGAAGAUGUGCAGAUGAAAGUUCCAGUCUAUUUUAUUCCACUGUAAUAUAUCAUACUGUUGAGUCCUAUAUAAUAAAGUCGGGUGCCUCUGCUAUGUUUAUGUAUCGCUGUAUUUAAAACAAGGUAAAAUCACUGAAGU